rnacentral:rRNA from 1 species
GACGAACGCUGGCGGCGUGCUUAACACAUGCAAGUCGAACGGAAAGGCCCUGCUUGCAGGGUACUCGAGUGGCGAACGGGUGAGUAACACGUGGGUGAUCUGCCCUGCACUUCGGGAUAAGCCUGGGAAACUGGGUCUAAUACCGGAUAGGAGCCAUUUUUAGUGUGAUGGUUGGAAAGUUUUUUCGGUGUAGGAUGAGCUCGCGGCCUAUCAGCUUGUUGGUGGGGUAAUGGCCUACCAAGGCGGCGACGGGUAGCCGGCCUGAGAGGGUGGACGGCCACAGUGGGACUGAGAGACGGCCCAGACUCCGACGGGAGGCAGCAGUGGGGAAGAUUGCACAAUGGGGGCAAGCCGGAUGCAGCGACGCCGCGGGGGGGAUGACGGACUUCGGGUUGUAAACUCCGUUCGCUAGGGACGAAGCUUUUUGUGACGGUACCUAGAGAAGAAGCACCGGCUAACUACGUG